AAAAUGAUUACCACUACUCAUU
rnacentral:snRNA from 1 species